rnacentral:misc_RNA from 1 species
GAAUGCGGAAGGAUCAUUAAAGAGUAAGGGUGCUCAGCGCCCGACCUCCAACCCUUUGUUGUUAAAACUACCUUGUUGCUUUGGCGGGACCGCUCGGUCUCGAGCCGCUGGGGAUUCGUCCCAGGCGAGCGCCCGCCAGAGUUAAACCAAACUCUUGUUAUUUAACCGGUCGUCUGAGUUAAAAUUUUGAAUAAAUCAAAACUUUCAACAACGGAUCUCUUGGUUCUCGCAUCGAUGAAGAACGCAGCGAAAUGCGAUAAGUAAUGUGAAUUGCAGAAUUCAGUGAAUCAUCGAAUCUUUGAACGCACAUUGCGCCCCUUGGUAUUCCGAGGGGCAUGCCUGUUCGAGCGUCAUUACACCACUCAAGCUAUGCUUGGUAUUGGGCGUCGUCCUUAGUUGGGCGCGCCUUAAAGACCUCGGCGAGGCCACUCCGGCUUUAGGCGUAGUAGAAUUUAUUCGAACGUCUGUCAAAGGAGAGGAACUCUGCCGACUGAAACCUUUAUUUUUCUAGGUUGACCUCGGAUCAGGUAGGGAUACCCGCUGAACUUAA